rnacentral:tRNA from 1 species
AGGAAUGUAGCUCAGUGGUAGAGCCCUUGCCUGAUACAUGCAAGGCCCUGGGUUCAAUCCCCAGCACUG